rnacentral:rRNA from 1 species
GAUGAACGCUGGCGGCGUGCCUAAUACAUGCAAGUCGAGCGAACGGACGAGAAGCUUGCUUCUCUGGUGUUAGCGGCGGACGGGUGAGUAACACGUGGAUAACCUACCUAUAAGACUGGGAUAACUUCGGGAAACCGGAGCUAAUACCGGAUAAUAUUUUGAACCGCAUGGUUCAAAAGUGAAAGACGGUCUUGCUGUCACUUAUAGAUGGAUCCGCGCUGCAUUAGCUAGUUGGUAAGGUAACGGCUUACCAAGGCAACGAUGCAUAGCCGACCUGAGAGGGUGAUCGGCCACACUGGAACUGAGACACGGUCCAGACUCCUACGGGAGGCAGCAGUAGGGAAUCUUCCGCAAUGGGCGAAAGCCUGACGGAGCAACGCCGCGUGAGUGAUGAAGGUCUUCGGAUCGUAAAACUCUGUUAUUAGGGAGGAACAUAUGUGUAAGUAACUGUGCACAUCCUGACGGUACCUAAUCAGAAAGCCACGGCUAACUACGU